UACGGAGGGUGCAAGCGUUGUUCGGAAUUACUGGGCGUAAAGGGCGUGUAGGCGGUUGUGUAAGUCAGACGUGAAAUCCUUCGGCUCAACUGAAGAACUGCGUCUGAUACUGCAUGACUAGAGUGCAGAAGAGGGAAACGGAAUUCCUGGUGUAGAGGUGAAAUUCGUAGAUAUCAGGAGGAACACCGGUGGCGAAGGCGGUUUCCUGGUCUGACACUGACGCUGAGGCGCGAAAGCGUGGGGAGCAAACAGGAUUAGAAACCCUAUAGUCC
rnacentral:rRNA from 1 species